rnacentral:lncRNA from 1 species
ACGCGGACAAUGCUCUUUUUGCUUUUUUUCCUCUCUCUGUUCUCUUCAAUUUUCAAAUUAUUUUUUAUUCCUCUCUAUUUAAAUAAUUUUUUUAUUUUUUUUUAGCUCUUUAAUUUUUUAAAGUUUAAAAUUUAAAAUUCGAUUUGAAAAUUAAAAAAAUUAAAUUUAAAUUUUUAAAAAUAAAUGAUAACAACAUAAAUAUAGAAAUAUAUUAGUUUGUUCAAAAUAUUUUAAAAAAUAUGUAAAUCUCUCACAGCGAAGCGCGGGCGUUCACUAGUAAGAUAUAAUA